rnacentral:tRNA from 1 species
GUAAAAUGGCUGAUAAAGGCGAUAAAUUGUAAAUUUAUUUAUGAAAAAAAUCUUUUGCU